GUAGGUGGCAAGCGUUGUCCGGGAAUUAUUGGGGCGUAAAGCGCGCGCAGGCGGUUCUUUAAGUCUGAUGUGAAAGCCCACGGGCUCAACCGUGGAGGGUCAUUGGAAACUGGAGAACUUGAGUACAGAAGAGGAAAGCGGAAUUCCACGUGUAGCGGUGAAAUGCGUAGAGAUGUGGAGGAACACCAGUGGCGAAGGCGGCUUUCUGGUCUGUAACUGACGCUGAGGCGCGAAAGCGUGGGGAGCAAACAGGAUUAGAUACCCUGGUAGUCCACGCCGUAAACGAUGAGUGCUAAGUGUUAGGGGGUUUCCGCCCCUUAGUGCUGCAGCUAACGCAUUAAGCACUGCGCCUGGGGAGUACGGCCGCAAAGGCUG
rnacentral:rRNA from 1 species